GAAAGUUUUUAUUAAAUAAAACAAUCUCAUGAAUCUGCCAUAAAAAGUUUUUCUGAGCAAGUCUGUGAUCAAUCGUCUGACCUUUGAUUCAUGAACUGUCUCCUCCGGCCCUCACACUGUUGUUGCUUCUGGGGAGUGAUAGGAAGCAGCCUCACUGGAAACAAACUGGCAUCAUGGGAUGCCCGCGGCCCUGGACAGGAGGACUCUUCUAAGAAUAUCAUUGGUACUCAUCUACAGAGCAUAUCAGUGAGGUCAGGUGCCUGAGCAGAGCCCAGAAUAUACUAAAAGACAGCACCCACCCCAGCCACAGCCUGUGCACGCUGCUGUCAUCUGGAAAGAGAUACAAAAGUAUCCGCUUCUGUACCUCUGUACUGUACAGUUUCUUUCCUCAGACUGUGAGACUCAUCUCCACCUCAUCCUUUGCUCUCCACAAUAAAGAAUUAUAUAGAACUUUCUGUCAUGCUUACAUACAAAAUGAGUAAGUACUUAUAAGAUGAGGAUGAAAUAAUUAGGGACUACAGGAACCACUCAGUAUGAUGCACCACUUCAGUUUAGGGGCCACAAAAACAGUAAAUAAUGUUUAAGUUAUUAGUACUGAUGGAGUCUUUAUUAG